rnacentral:rRNA from 1 species
UACGUAGGUGACAAGCGUUGUCCGGAUUUACUGGGCGUAAAGAGCGCGCAGGCGGUCGAUCAAGUCGAGUGUGAAAGCCCCCGGCUCAACUGGGGAGGGUCAUUCGAUACUGAUCGACUCGAAGGCAGGAGAGGGUAGUGGAAUUCCCGGUGUAGUGGUGAAAUGCGUAGAUAUCGGGAGGAACACCGGUGGCGAAGGCGGCGACCUGGACAGUAACUGACGCUGAGACGCGAAAGCGUGGGUAGCAAACAGG